GGCCACACCCACGCAUAUGGAAGUUCUCAGGUUAAGGGUCAAAUCAGAGCUACAGCUCCGAUUCAACCCCUAGCCUGGGAACCUCCAUGUGCUGCGGGAGUGGCCCAAGAAAUGCAAAAAAAUAAAAAAAAAAAGAAAAGAAAAUCUGAUUUCUUGAUACUUAUAAUAGAUCACAAAACUUCUAAGAUUGUUAGCACUCCUUUUUGGUCUUUCUCUCAUUUUCAGACAAAAAUUUUAUAAUUGGGAGAGUUAGAAAGUAAAAAAAAAAACAUGAACUGGAGUUCCCGUCAUGGCUCAGUGGUUAACGAAUCCGAUUAAGAACCAUGAGGUUGCAGGUUCUAUCCCUGGCCUUGCUCAGUGGGUUAAGGAUCCAGCGUUGCCCGUGAGCUGUGGCGUAGGUCACAGACACAGCUUGGAUCUGGCAUUGCUACAGCUCCUAUUCAAUCCCUAGCCUGGGAAAUUCCAUAUGCCGAGGGUACGGCCCUAAAAAGUGAAAAAAGUGAACUAGAAACCUUUCAGAGCAAAUUAGAAAAAAUCAAAAUGUAUUUAAGGAAAACAGGUUUCAUGUUAACAUUGUGAGCUGUAGUUCCCAUUGUGGCACAUUGGGUUAAGGUCCGGUGUUGCUGCAGCUGCGUGUCAGAUUCAACCCCUGAUCCAGGAAUUUCCAUAUGCCACGGGUGUGACUGAAAAAAAAACAAAAAUUGCAAGCUAAAUUAAAAAAGAAUGAUCCUGGAGUUCCUGCUGUGGUGCAGCAGGUUAAGGAUCCAAUGGUAUCUCUCUCUGCUCCUGCUUGGGUCACUGCUGAGGCUAGGGUUUGAUUCUCAGCCCAGCACAGUAGGUUAAGGAUCUGGCAUUGCCACAGCUAUGGGUCAGUAGCUAGGAUUUGAUCCCUUGGCCUAGGAACUUCCAUAUGCCGAGGGUGUGGUAAAAAAUAUACACAUGUAUCAUACAACUCAAUGUCAAAAAAACAACCUAAUGAAAAAAAAAUGAGUAGAAGACCUGAAUAGACUCUUCCAAAUAAAACGUACAAAUGGCCAAUAAGCACAUGAAAAUUGCUCUUUUUUUUUGCUUUUUAGGGCCACACCCUGGCGUGUGGAGGUUCCCCAGGCUAGGGGUCUAAUCAGAGCUAUAGCUGCCAGCCUAUGCCACAGCUCAUAGCAAUGCAAGAUCCUUAACGCACUGAGUAAGGCCAGGGAUCAAACCUCCAACUCAUAGUUCCUAGUCAAAUUGUUUCUGCUGUGCCAGGACAGGAACUCUGAAAAUUGCUCAACAUUGCUAAUCACCAGAGAAAUGCAAAUCAAAGCCACAAAGAGCUGUUAGAAUGGCUAGCAUCAAAGGUAACAUAAAAAAUAUCGGCAGAAAUGGUGG
rnacentral:lncRNA from 1 species